rnacentral:misc_RNA from 1 species
UCCGGUUUGACACCGGCAGUCUCCCUAGAGUGCCCGGCUUUACCCGCUGGUAACUAGGGACGAGGGUUGCGCUCGUUGCGGGACUUAACCCAACAUCUCACGACACGAGCUGACGACAGCCAUGCACCACCUGUGAUGGUGUCCCGAAGGAAAGGUGUGUUUCCACACCGGUCACCAACAUGUCAAACCCAGGUAAGGUUCUUCGCGUUGCGUCGAAUUAAACCACAUGCUCCGCUGCUUGUGCGGGGCCCCGUCAAUUCCUUUGAGUUUUAGCCUUGCGGCCGUACUCCCCAGGCGGGGUGCUUAAUGCGUUAGCUUCGGCACGGACGGGGUCGAUAUCCGCCACACCUAGUGAGCAUCGUUUACAGCUAGGACUAC